UGCAAGUGGAGCGACGAACCUUUUAGGGGCAAAGCCGCGAACGGGUGAGUAACACGUGGGCAAUCUGCCCCGAUGACUGGAAUAACACGAGGAAACUCGUGCUAAUACCGGAUGUGCUUGCACCUCAUCAGAGGUGUCAGUAAAGGUAGCUUCGGCUAACCGCAUCGGGAGGAGCCUGCGCAGCAUUAGUUUGUUGGUGAGGUAACGGCUCACCAAGACUACGAUGCUUAGCUGGUCUGAGAGGACGAUCAGCCACACUGGAACUGAGACACGGUCCAGACUCCUACGGGAGGCAGCAGUGGGGAAUCUUGCACAAUGGGCGACAGCCUGAUGCAGCAAUGCCGCGUGAGGGAAGACGGCCUUCGGGUUGUAAACCUCUUUCAGUUGGGAUGAAGGUUGGACGGUGAAUAGCCGGCUCAACUGACCGUACCUUC
rnacentral:rRNA from 1 species